GUUUGACUCCGUGGCUACAGAACGAACGCUGGCGGCAUGCCUAACACAUGCAAGUCGAACGAGACCUUCGGGUCUAGUGGCGCACGGGUGCGUAACGCGUGGGAAUCUGCCCCUUGGUUCGGAAUAACAGCGAGAAAUUGCUGCUAAUACCGGAUAAUGACGUAAGUCCAAAGAUUUAUCGCCAAGGGAUGAGCCCGCGUAGGAUUAGCUAGUUGGUGUGGUAAAGGCGCACCAAGGCGACGAUCCUUAGCUGGUCUGAGAGGAUGAUCAGCCACACUGGGACUGAGACACGGCCCAGACUCCUACGGGAGGCAGCAGUGGGGAAUAUUGGACAAUGGGCGAAAGCCUGAUCCAGCAAUGCCGCGUGAGUGAUGAAGGCCUUAGGGUUGUAAAGCUCUUUUACCCGGGAUGAUAAUGACAGUACCGGGAGAAUAAGCUCCGGCUAACUCCGUG
rnacentral:rRNA from 1 species